UUCUAAUGCCCCUCAACUCCAGAUGGCACUAGUUACGGGGAAGGGUAUGCCUUCUGUCAUGGUCUAAGAACCCUUGAGGGUUCUUAUGGACCAUGCUUCUGUCCGUUUUUUUUUACAGUUGUUGGUAAUAACAUACAUGCUACAUUUAUUUGUAUCUGCAGCUGAAACUAAAUGCAACUUCUUUCAUGUGGUAUAACACUGUAACACAUUGAGCUAGUGGAAUGUUAAGUUGUUAGUUACAAUAGUUUAGCUUCUUAACGUCUAAUGUUGUGAUGGUUUAAUGUUGUGAUGUUAGAACUAAUUUUUUCCCCCACCAGUCUGUGAUCUAACAUCUCAGAGCUAGCACCCUUCAAGCUUCGGGAUUGACAGGUUCUGAAAAGCUGCAGUACCAUAUGAGCUCCUGAAGGACUGAGUCUGAAAAUCUGCAGUACCACAUUAUUUGGUCCAUUCCUUUGCUGAGAUGUUAGCAUGUUGCUGAUUUUACAACCAUGAUACAGAAUAAAAUUUUGUAUCGGUGUGGAACCGGUCAUAUCAACUCGUUCAUAUUUGACACACUUAGUGUACCAAACUUUUCGACGUGGUCGAAGAUGACACCCAAAAUAUUGCUGUUCUGUGUCGGUGCCAUCAGCACAAGAGUGCCAUCACACCGAAACGGUUGGCUAUAUGAUAGACGUCCUCUACGAUGGUAAACUGCUAACCCUAUCCUCGUUUUACGCCCGGGUAUAAGACGUCCAGAAAGUGACACAACGAUGUUUGAUCGCGAUUUUUGAGUUUGAUCGCGAUCAGUUAAUUAUUAAUAUUAAUUCAUUAAUUGAUUUGUAAGGUUCAAUUAAUGACUUUCUUGGACUUUGUGAAGGUAAUAAGCAUAUGAAAAGUACUACUAACAGGCAUUUAAAACUGUGCAGAACCAUUGUUUUGGUAACAAAGAAUUCUAACAUCAGAAAAAAGAAUUAGCUUACUUGCUAUUGUUAUUGUAAAAUUCCCUUUAGAUUCUAUUCUAGUAUCUAUCCGGGUCUUAUCUUUAUCACCUCAUCGAUAGAAAUUUAAUUUUAAAUCCUAAUAACGAAGUUAGAUUUUCAUAGUUUGAAUAAUGAUCCCACAAUUCAAUACCUUGAGAGAACUGUGAUUAGAAACAUAGAUAAAUCCAGAUAUACCAACAGUGACAGUCCUUGGCAAGGCGGAUCGAUUGCAUUUGAACAGCCUGUAACUUCUGUAAGGAAUGGUACCAUGAAGGUUGCAUAGAUAACACUAUGGAGGAUCCAUGCUGCACUAAAAAGUUUUUAUAUGCACCAAAUAUAAAUCUGUAUUGCAUUUGCCAUUUCAAUGAAAAAUUGGUAAAACAAUAGAAAUGCAGGCAAAGGGAUCAUAGCUUAACUUUCAAAUACAAACAGAAAAAAAAACUGGAACAUGCAGAGAAGCAAGUGUGACUCGUCGAGGAAAACCAUGUUAGCAGCGCCAGUACCGAGUCUGUUUCACUUUUUCCCACAAGGUAUCUUUUGUAUUAAAUUUGAUCUUAUCAAAUUUUUAGUUUUGAAUAAAUCCAAAUAUUACGAUGAUGUAAUGAUAUGGGAACCGAGCCUGCGAUAAGAAAACCCCUGAUCCAGCUAUAGUCAGCCAUCUCGAUAUUCGACAAACCAAAAGAAUUGGCAAAAAGACGACAUCAUACUUUUCCUACUUCUGAGGACAACUGUCGCCGAAACAGAAUACCCCGUCUACAGAUUCGGAAGGUGAAAGUGAGAUCGAAAACUCUGCAGCAACGAAGCAUGUCAUCCGCUUUUAUAGACCACAAUGUGUAAAUGCGUCGGUUCCGUGAAGUAAAUACCGCAGUAACCAGAACGGAAAAAAAUUGGCGUCAACUCGUACAUAUCAGAUUUUGGCGCAACGCAUUCAAGAAUGGGGCCUAACACCUUGCAUAGCUGAAGAAAAUUAUAAGAAAGGAUUAGUACAAUUUGUAGAGAGCAAAACAAAUCACGGGAAGGUCAGGAAGAGCUGGUUCUUAAACAAAAGUGCCCAAAGGGAACUAGAUAACCACAGCAAAGGCUAAUAAAUUUAUGGUUGAUAUAAACUAUGACGACGAAGCAGAUAUGGCAGGCGAAAGCGAAACGAUUGCGCUGCUGUCGUUCGUUACUUGCGGCAUCGGUAUUACGGUCAGUAAAGCAUCCGACACAUAGAGGGAUGAUUCAACAAAUACGAAAAACAAACGGCCUUCGGUUCAAUCUUUCAAACCAAAAUAGAAUGCAGUAAUAUAUUACGCGGCGUUUAGAAUCUCAGUAACCGAAUAUACUGGAGGCUAUUUCGUGCUUCAAGUCCAAGGGCAUUGCAAAAAUCCUAAGGUAAAAAAAAACUGAUCUAUAUCGGUAUCCUGUAGUACGAGAAGUCUUUGAAGAGGAAAGAGUAAGCCAGUGGCUUAAACUUAAUAAGUUAUUCGAAAAGAAAGACUGAUUUGGACUGUUAUGGCUCAGCGAACGUGAAUUUUGCCACUUAUACUUCAUUCGCGUUCAACUAUGAAUUCCUGCAGCAUCAAGGAGAAUUCAUCAAGGAAUUCCUCGGGACACAAUGAGGACAAUGCAGAAACCGACAAAACAAUCGCAACCAAUAAAUAAGCCAUCAAUGAAGAUGAUUUGUUGAACAUCAUAGGCUCACAGCUCCAAGAUACCGAAAAUUUAACAUGUACAUAUGCCAUUGGUCGUGCUUUUUUACUAUUUACUGUCUAAUUCGGCCGCCAAUUGAUUUUCUGGUGUAACCUUUCGAUUGACUUUUUCUCCCUCGCUCUACGCUUUUAAAAACGUUCGUAUUUUUGUGUUAUAAAUCACAAAACUAGAUGGCGCUGAUGUGCUUCAGUAUUUUGCCGUGCUUGACGUGUGAAACCGUGUUCCAAUAUUGGUUAACUGUUAUACAUUCUUAUUGAAAAGUGAGAUUAAAUCGAAUGAUUUGAUGUCUACUGUUCAGUUUUUUCAUUCUUUAUUGUGUUGUUUAAGUGAAACACAUUAACUGGAUUAUUUUUGUGUGGAACGAGUGAUCUUGUGAUCAGCUAUGCCAGCUGACAAAAUCCAAAAUCUAUUACAUUUGCUUUCCAUCAUGCAAAUCUAUUACUCAUUGUGAGGAUGCUGAACGAGCAGAAAGUUUACAAAUGACACAAAAAUCACAUGGGUUGGAAUACCAUCACCUCAUUCUGCUACUCUUUAUCGGUUCAUCAUAUCCUGUCAGUGCUGUACUGACAAGUGCAACAUAUGUUGUGUUACCAACUGGAUGGAUUGGAAUACCUCACAUCAUUCAUAUACUCUUUGCUUGCUCAUCUCAUUCUUAUCAUUAUUACUUUGCCAGCCGACACAUGUCUUCGCCUCGCCCGUCGCCCCUUUCUCGCUUCACCCGCCAAAUUUUAUUUCUACUUUGCCAGCCAACACAUGUCUUCGCCUUGUCCGUCACUCCGUCUUCGCCUUGUCCGUCUUCGCCUCGCCUGUCACCGCGUCUUCGCCUCGCCUAUCACCGCGUCUUCGCCUCGCCUGUCACCGCGUCUUCGCCUCGCCUGUCACCGCGUCUUCGCCUCGCCUGUCCCGUCUUCGCCUCGCCUGUCACCCCGUCUUCGCCUCGCCCUUGGUAUCUUGGCCAUCCCGUUUUCGCUUCGCACGUCGCUCCGUCAUCGCCUCUUAGUCGCCCCGUCAUCUUCUUUGUCAUCAUCAUCAUCUUUGUGGUAUCGUUGUAUUUUGUAAUGUGCAAUUAUGUAGUGUUAAUUAACCCGUUGGCUGCCACCCACUUUGAUCCCCUUUUUUUUUAAAGCUUGUUAGGGUCCGGCAGCGCUGUUCUGCCCAAUGGUCUAUAUGCCAUGGGUGGGACAGUUGCACAAGCCGUGUGGCUCAAAGUCGAUCGUCGAGGCAAUGCACCAGUAGGGACUUCCCUCUUCUAGAUGUGGUGGUGGUUGCCUGGGGUGUGCAUUCCCAUAACGGCUUCCAUCAUCAUAUCAGCCCGGACUUGUCUUCGGACAAGUCUCCCUUGGUCGCUAUCCUUUCGAUAGCGAUGUAGCUAGUGUAGAUUUAGUGGCGUGGCAGCCAACGGGUUAGUUUUAUUUAUGUAUGUUUUGUAAUAUAUUGUAUUGUGAAAUGUAAAAAUUUGUGGUGGAUUUGUGGGU
rnacentral:lncRNA from 1 species